GCGCUUAACACAUGCAAGUCGAACGAGAAAGGGGAGCAAUCCCUGAGUAAAGUGGCGUACGGGUGAGUAACACGUGGGUAAUCUACCUCUUAGUGGGGAAUAAUUCGGCGAAAGCUGGACUAAUACCGCAUAAGCCCGAGAGGGGAAACGCGAAAGCGGCUGAGAGAGGAGCCCGCGGCCGAUUAGCUAGUUGGCAGGGUAAAAGCCUACCAAGGCAGAGAUCGGUAGCCGGCCUGAGAGGGCACACGGCCACACUGGCACUGAAACACGG
rnacentral:rRNA from 1 species